AUAAAACACCUCCACCCAACACCCGAACGGCAAACAAACCUCAAAUCUGACAAGGAGUCGGUGUGGUGACUCCAGCGAUGGUGAGAUCCAAAUGUUACCCUUUAUGGAUAACCCAAAUGAACGGAGCCCUAAGUCUCCAAAAAAAAUUUUAAAACUUUACGAGAGAAAAAAGAAAAAAAAUCUCUAUGAGAAAGGCUCUGAUACCAUGUAGAAGGAUAAUAUUUAUU
rnacentral:lncRNA from 1 species